rnacentral:tRNA from 1 species
GCCCUUUUGGCUCAGUGGUAGAGCACUCCCUUGGUAAGGGAGAGGUCGCAGGGUCCGAUUCCCGCAAAGGGCACCA